CUACCGGUCGGUGCUGAAAAGAAAUCUACUCUACAAAUAUUCUACAUAUUCUCCAGAAGAGAUAUUAAAGAUCACCAUGAAGCUGCUGACCGUGUUUGCACUUCUUUGUGUAAUGAUCCCUCUGAUCAUUACUGCUCAAAAAACGGACAAAAGUGGGCCAGAGGAUAAUCCCCAAGAAGAGCAUCUUGUUGACAAGAGAUUCCUGUGGCAUUGGCGCAGAUAUCGCGUUUGCCUUAGAUAUGGCUGGAAAUGGAGGAGGCAUUUUGGA